rnacentral:rRNA from 1 species
CCCUUAGAUGUCCGGGGCUGCGCGCGCGCUACACUGAAGGAAUCAGCGUGCUAAAACCAUUGUCGAAAGGCAUUGGUAAACCCAUUAAAAUCCUACGUGAUUGGGAUCGGGAAUUGCAAUUAUUUCCCUUGAACGAGGAAUUCCCAGUAAGUGUGGGUCAUAAGCUCGCGUUGAUUACGUCCCUGCCCUUUGUACACACCGCCCGUCGCUGCCCGGGACUGAGCCGUUUCGAGAAAAGCGGGGACUGCUGCUGUCGGGGCUUUCGGGCCUUGGCUUCGGUGGAAACCGCUUUAAUCGCAGUGGCUUGAACCGGGCAAAANUCGUANCA